rnacentral:rRNA from 1 species
UACAGAGGUCCCAAGCGUUGUUCGGAUUCACUGGGCGUAAAGGGCGCGUAGGCGGGUCGUUAAGUAGGGGGUGAAAGCCCAGGGCUCAACCCUGGAAUUGCCUUCUAAACUGGCGACCUUGAGUAUGGCAGAGGUGUGUGGAACUCCGAGUGUAGAGGUGAAAUCGUAGAUAUUCGCAAGAACACCGGUGGCGAAGGCGGCCAACUGGACCAUUACUGACGCUGAGGCGCGAAAGCGUGGGAGCAAACAGGAU